GUACUUCUGGGUUCCGGCGGGUCCAUAACCAGAAAAAACGCAACCUGAAGCGUCUGUAACCCGAGGCAUGACUGUAAUGCUUCUGAAUGCCAGCUGCUGGGAGCCACUGGAGAAAAGAGUGCUCUUGCGCUCGGAUCCUCCUUGCGGGCAUCUGCUUGGCCACUAUGAGAACAGGAUGCUGGACUUAUUUGGGCCAUUGGCCUGAUCCAGCAGGCUCUUCUUGUGUUCUUGAGCCAGUGUGGUGUAGUGGUUAAGAACGGUGGACUCGUAAUCUGGUGAACCGGGUUCGCUUCCCCGCUCCUCCACAUGCAGCUGCUGGGUGACCUUGGGCUAGUCACACUUCUCUGAAGUCUUUCAGCCCCACUCGCCUCACAGAGUGUUUGUUGUGGGGGAGGAAGGGAAAGGAGAAUGUUAGCCGCUUUGAGACUCCUUCGGGUAGUGAUAAAGCGGGAUAUCAGAUGCAAACUCUUCUUCUUAACCUCUAGAGUGCUUCCAUUGCCAGAUCCCCUCCCAGUUUCUAAGUGUGCCAGCUGCCCUUCUGAACAUUUGAGCAAAUGUGUAGAAUUGGGGCGCUGUUCUUGAACAUGGCUCUUCUUUGUCCUCCCUGUCCAGAUCAGUGAUUGCUCAACAGGUGCAUAUUCUGCGAGUCCAAUGCACAGCUGAUGCCACAUUGUAGGAUUAGUGGAAGCGAGUGCUGCUCAGCUGACACUGCAAAGGUGGUACAGCAUGAGACUCUUAAUAUCUGGGUCGUGGGUUCAAGCCCCACGUUGGGCAAAAGAUUCCUGCAUUGCAGAGGGGUUAGACUGGAUGACCCUUGGGGUCCCUUCAAAUGCCACAAUUCUAUGUAGAAGAGUAAGAAGGCAGGACCCAGCUCUGGUGGCAUUUUGUGCUCACUAGUACAGGGUUUCCAAAACUCCACACACCACGCCACUUGAAAACUGCUGGUUUUGGUGGACCGCUUAAUGAUUUUCUUGCCUGUUGCAGCAAUUGCAGUGCGCUGCACUAGAUGUUUUCCUAAUUGUAUUAGUGCUCUUAUUUCUUGCACCGUAUUUUAUUGUAUUACAAUUGACGUUCCAUUGAAUUAAAACUGCGGUCCAAUAAAAUACAAUGCGAGAAAUAUAUAAAAAAUGCAACAGAAAUUCAGUUUUGACUAUUUAAUGCAGACCUGGUGCAGGUCGCUGGUGGGUCUGUGGGAAGCCUUGGAGGGAGAGUUCCUGAUUCACACACCCCUGCUUUUAAUGAAGGAGGACCUUGCGUAAGGGAGUUGGGACUUUCUGUACCCGAAGCCUUGGGAAGUCAAGCUAGACAGACCAGUAGAACAUGGGAAGGGCGGCUGGAAGAUGCUUUCGACAGUGUCUCUUUUUCCUAAGUCAUCUUGGAGCCAUGGGGCAGUCACGCCCAUUGAGAUUGACAGCAGAGGCCCUAAAAUGCAGGCCCCUCUGUCAACUGGGGGCAUGGCUGGACAUUUCUGUUUCAGUUCUUAUUUGUUGCAUUUAUAUCCCUUUUUCUCCACGGAGCUUGGGGUGGUCCUCCAUAGCUCUUCUGCUCCUCAUUUAAUUCCCCACAACAACCCUGUGAGGUAGGUUAGGCUGAGAGAGUGGCCCAAGGGUUCACCCAGCGAGCUUCCUGGCCGAGUGGGGAUUCGAACCCUGGUCUCCCAGGUCACAGUCCAACACUCUAACCACUGUACCACCACUGGCUUUCACCCUCUUCAGUCCUGUACCUGAGAACUUCUCAGAAUUAUUUGUCCAGAUGUUUUAGGUAUGUGUUUGUCCUGGGGCUGAUUAUUUUAAGCUGGCUUUUGGUCCCUGCUGCUGGCAUCCCAUCUGCUUUGUUGCCUCUUUUAAUUUAUACUUUAACAUUUUUGUGAACAGCUGGAGGAAGUUAAUAUCCCCCAAUAUAGAAAAAUGCCAAAGAAAGUGCAAAGACAGCCCCGCUUCAAGAUGCUAAAGGUCCAUUUAAUCCAGAUUCCUGUCCCCAAGAAUGGCCCCACCGGGUGUCUGCAAGAAAUCUCACAAGCAGAGCACGGACACCCCUUUCCCCUCGUUGCCCCCCAACAACUGGUCACUGCUGGUGCCAUUUAGCAGCCAUGACUAAUAGCCACUGCCUUCUCUCCAUGCAUUUGUCUUGUUCCCCCUUUAAAGCCACACUCUUACCUUGGAAGUCGAACAGGUUAGUUCCCAAAUGUUUUGGCUCCCAAAUGUUGCAAACCCGGAAGUGACACUUCUGGUUUGUGAACUAUUUUUGGAAGCCAAACAUCCGAUGGGGUUUCCGAUUGGCUGCAGGAGCUUCCGGCAGCCAAUCGGAAGCCGUGCUUUGGUUUUCAAAUGUUUUCUAAGUUGAAUGGACUUCCGGAACGGAUUCCGUUUGACUUCCAGGGUACGACUGUAUAAGGCUGUGGCCAUCACCACUCCUUCAGGCUGCAAAUGCGACUUAGGGUCUUCUGCGAGGGAGCAUUAACAUAUAUGCACAGGUCCUGGUAAGCGGGGAGAAAGAAGGCUCCAUCAACUUUGGGAUCAUAUGCAUGCUUGGAGCUUUGCAGACUCUGUUCCCAAAACCCAGGGUUGCCCAGAAAACCACUGCUUUUAUACCAGAUCUGUGAGUCAAGCAACAGGAAAUUUAGAACAGCACAAGUUGUAAGAACCCUCCUCCCCAAAUGAUAUGUAAGUUGCUAACAUCUCCAAACCAGAAAACAGGUUUUGAGGAGGAGGUUGAGCUAGUUUUCUUUUCUGCCUUUUAUUUUUCAAGAUCUCAAUGGACUGUGUAUUAAGGGCAAUUGUGUUUUUGUUUUAAACGUCAGUAAAAUUAUCAAAUCCAAAAGCUUAGAAAAGGGACUGGGGGAUGCCCCCCUUUUUUUGUAAAGUUGAAUUUGCAGUGAAGGGGGGAAUUGCAUGCACUUUUUUAAUCCUGUCAAUUCUACAAACGAAUUAGCAAAGGCGACCAAUUUGGAAAUUACCCAGGAAGCAGAAAUCAUAAUUAAUUUGAACUGUGGAGAUAAACCUGAUGCAGCCAAAAGGGGCUCUGGCUUGUAACUAAGGACAGCAGGGAGAAGAAGAGGAGCUUUUACACUGCCACCCUCCAACCAAAUCGCUUUAAUUUAGGUUAAAUUGAUACAAAAGCUAUCAAAUUAGUGCAAUUGUAAAGUGCAAAGAGUCAGUCCCCAGACUGUUGUCAACAUCGCAGGCUUCGUCUAUCUGGUUCAGUGACUCAUUAUAAAAAUAUCCUUUGAUUUUUAUUUAGUCCAGCCCCCCACCCCCCACAAAAGUCUUUACAAUGAAAUUUCAAUAAAGUUUCCAUAAAGAUGUUCUCAGUUGAGACUAAA